CAUAUUUGAUCCUACCUUAACAAUUUGUGAAAGAACCCAGAACAUACAAGAGACGAAAAAUGUCCGAAAAAGAAAGCUCCAUUAAAAAGAAACUACCUGUUAUUUUAAAUGGCCAAUUUUUUAAGCCAGAUGGCAAAUGUGUAUUGUGUGUAAAUAAAAAUUAAAUUCGACGAAAAUUCAACUGGAAAUUUACACAAACAUCUUAAGAGGGUGCAUCCAAACAGCUACGCGUCAUAUGAGGCCAUGAAAUCAAAAGUGGCAAAAAAGGAAGAGAAUAAAUUAUCAGAGCCUAAGCAAGCAAAUUUUUUCUGUUUCCAAAGUUCAAGCAAGCUAAACAACAAAAUUUGCGACUAUAUUAUCGCUGAAAUACGUAUUCGAAACCUUAGUUAUGCUUAAAAAACACAUUAAUUAAGUAAGUU
rnacentral:sRNA from 1 species